CUAAAUAAGAAUAGCCAAUAAGAAAGUCUUGGUCAUGUGAGAAGUGAGAACUAACUUGAAGGAAUCUUGAAGCCCUCUUGCUCAAAUAACCAGCUCAAAAACCUUGGAUGUCCAAGAGGCAACGGCAGACCUAAAAGAAUCCUUGGAGGCUGAAAAAUAUCAGCAUGCCGAUCUGAGCCAAGAUUCUCGAAGAAAUUAUUACACAGAUACUUAGAGCCACCCCG
rnacentral:lncRNA from 1 species